CCUUUUUCGGAGAAUAGAGGACUUCAGGACCACACUGGUGGAAUUGCCCUUGGACUUCUGUCUCCAGAACUGUGAAGAAAAAAAAAAUCCUAUUGAAAUUGAACACAGCCCUGUAGGGCCCCUGGGCGCAAAAGCCUUUCUGUGUCCCCCAGCUCUUGUUCUUAGGAAAUGGGCCUCGUUCAGCCACCAUGACCUCCGCUGAGUUCCUGCGGACAGGGUCUGACAGUUGCUGAUCAGGGAAGGGAAGGGAUGAAAGACAAGGGAGGAACAGUCAAAGACAACGUAGGGUCCUUCCUGUCCUUCUCCCUGCCUUAACUGCACUCUAAACACCCAUAAGCUAAAGAUGAGGCACCCUGAGCACAACUGCCCGUGGGUUAAGAUUAUUAUUAGUACAUGAGGUUUUUCAGGACUUUUCCUAGUGUGUUCUAAUCUCUGAUCCAUAUGCCCCCUUUGCAAAUACUGUUAUUCUAGACAAUAACCCAGAAGACCACCAUCAGGAUCAGGCUGAGAUCACCUGCUCCAGCUUUGAUGACUGAGAUUCCCCCAAAGAAGGAAGAACAUGUGUUUGUCCCAAUCCUGAUUCCUAUCUGAAAACCUGCUUUCCUCCUUUUUACUAUAAAAUUCCUAGCAAUUCUUUCCUAUGGGGGGUUGUGGGCAGGCAUUGUCUUUAGGGUAUUAGCCUGCUGUGACCCUGCCUUUGCCUGGCAGAGCAAUAAAGCUAGUUUUUCUCCUUGACCCAAAACUCUGUCUCUGCAUAUCUGUUCACCAUCGGCAGACAGAGGCGGAAUUCUGGCAACACUGUUGUUUAAGUUCAAGGACUUUUUUUUGGCAGGCUAACUAAGCAAACGGAUACAGCAGCUAUGGAGGAAAAUAAAGCAGAGAAAAGGCCUGAGAAUGAGGAGGCAUGUCUCGUCUCCAUCUCCAGGCCCUAUGCAAGCUAACUAGUUCUACGCUCUAUUAAAAUUUGAGUUCUUUGAUCUCAUCCAUUCCUCAUUUUUCCACUCCCAGUGGAGAUUUCUUUU